rnacentral:rRNA from 1 species
CGAAUGCUGACAUAAGUAACGAUAAAGCGGGUGAAAAGCCCGCUCGCCGGAAGACCAAGGGUUCCUGUCCAACGUUAAUCGGGGCAGGGUGAGUCGACCCCUAAGGCGAGGCCGAAAGGCGUAGUCGAUGGGAAACAGGUUAAUAUUCCUGUACUUGGUGUUACUGCGAAGGGGGGACGGAGAAGGCUAUGUUGGCCGGGCGACGGUUGUCCCGGUUUAAGCGUGUAGGCUGGUUUUCCAGGCAAAUCCGGAAAAUCAAGGCUGAGGCGUGAUGACGAGGCACUACGGUGCUGAAGCAACAAAUGCCCUGCUUCCAGGAAAAGCCUCUAAGCAUCAGGUAACAUCAAAUCGUACCCCAAACCGACACAGGUGGUCAGGUAGAGAAUACCAAGGCGCUUGAGAGAACUCGGGUGAAGGAACUAGGCAAAAUGGUGCCGUAACUUCGGGAGAAGGCACGCUGAUAUGUAGGUGAAGUCCCUCGCGGAUGGAGCUGAAAUCAGUCGAAGAUACCAGCUGG